rnacentral:rRNA from 1 species
GACGAACCACACAAACGUUAUUCGGAAUUACUGGGCUUAAAGGGUGCGUAGGCGGCGCAGAAAGUAGGGUGUGAAAUCCCUCGGCUCAACCGAGGAACUGCGCCCUAAACUACUGUGCUCGAGGGAGGUAGAGGUGAGCGGAACUUAGGGUGGAGCGGUGAAAUGCGUUGAUAUCCUAAGGAACACCGGUGGCGAAGGCGGCUUCUGGACAGAUACCGACGCUGAGGCACGAAAGCUAGGGGAGCAAACAGG